rnacentral:lncRNA from 1 species
AGAAAAGGAAAUGAGCCGAACAGUGCUAGAACAACAUAGGAAGCUGCAAGCAAGCAUUUUGAUGAAAUAAAAUUGGGGCCAGGGUGGUAUUUCCUUGCUGGUGGGUGGCCCUCGCUAGUAAAACAGCUGUUGGAAAGUAGAAUAUUCGUUCAGUGCCUUCAAUCGCCGGCAUCUCCCAGAAAAAGAUAACGGCAAGCCACUCCCGCUUCUGAGAAGAAAAAUGCGUGGAUAGUUCCAUGAAGAGGCCGGAGCUGAUCUGAUCCUGACUCCAUGGAAGGCGAUAGCAGCUGCAAAGAGAUGAAAUAGUUCUUGUUCCGGUGGCAGAAGCCACGGAUGUGUGAAGGGGCUUCUGUUCUCUAGCAAUGCUUUGAUUUCUCUUGGCAUGGAGCAGAAGGGCAGGCUGUACAUUUGGGGAAAUGCCUCCAGAAUUUCAUCUCACUUCUCCUGCUCAGUCAAAACGAAGAAGGAAGGCAUCAGGGGAACUGCGCAUGCUUUAAAAUUAAGGAAGUAUCUGCCGGACACCAACCUUCUGGACCAAUCAGCUGAUGCGGCUGAGAAAAUGAGUUUUCCCAGGCAUCUUGCUAAUAGAUCAACGUUAUCUCCCAAGAACAGGAGUUUGUAGGAGAGCUGCCAAUCUGUCUGUCAUCCAGGAGAUCCGGCUAGAGCCUCGGUUGCCAGCAAUCCUUCAUCCAUCUCGUGAUCCAACCCAAUUUACAUAAUAUUUCACUUCACAUCGCCUCUGCUGAGCAGCUGCAAAUGCCUGCNCCGAAGUCAUUUGCUGCUGGUUGGGACUACCUGUUCCCAGUUGUACCCAGAGAUGAUAGACGGGGNCCAGAUCUCAAAUUGUGCCAUACUUCAGAGCUAACAAAGCCAUUGCUAGCAAGUUAAGCUCCUNGGGAUAGGCAUGAUCACUAUUAUGAGGCAUGGUGGCGCAGAAGGCUAAGGCACUGAUCUUUCAAUAGGAGGAUCAGAGUUCAAGGCCCCUGUCUGCCGUGUAGAGGGGAUGAGCGCCCUCUACUGGCCUCUAGCUCCAGCCAACCUAGCUGUUCGAAAGCAAGUAAUUGCAAGUAGAUGAAU